GGUUAAGCGACCAAGCGUACACGGUGGAUGCCCUGGCAGUCAGAGGCGAUGAAGGACGUGCUAAUCUGCGAUAAGCGCCGGUAAGGUGAUAUGAACCGUUAUAACCGGCGAUUUCCGAAUGGGGAAACCCAGUGUGAUUCGUCACACUAUCAUUAACUGAAUCCAUAGGUUAAUGAAGCGAACCGGGGGAACUGAAACAUCUAAGUACCCCGAGGAAAAGAAAUCAACCGAGAUUCCCCCAGUAGCGGCGAGCGAACGGGGAGGAGCCCAGAGCCUGAAUCAGCAUGUGUGUUAGUGGAAGCGUCUGGAAAGGCGCGCGAUACAGGGUGACAGCCCCGUACACAAAAGCGCAUGUGCUGUGAGCUCGAUGAGUAGGGCGGGACACGUGGUAUCCUGUCUGAAUAUGGGGGGACCAUCCUCCAAGGCUAAAUACUCCUGACUGACCGAUAGUGAACCAGUACCGUGAGGGAAAGGCGAAAAGAACCCCGGCGAGGGGAGUGAAACAGAACCUGAAACCGUGUACGUACAAGCAGUGGGAGCACAGGUUUACCUGUGUGACUGCGUACCUUUUGUAUAAUGGGUCAGCGACUUAUAUUCUGUAGCAAGGUUAACCGCAUAGGGGAGCCGAAGGGAAACCGAGUCUUAACCGGGCGUUAAGUUGCAGGGUAUAGACCCGAAACCCGGUGAUCUAGCCAUGGGCAGGUUGAAGGUUGGGUAACACUAACUGGAGGACCGAACCGACUAAUGUUGAAAAAUUAGCGGAUGACCUGUGGCUGGGGGUGAAAGGCCAAUCAAACCGGGAGAUAGCUGGUUCUCCCCGAAAGCUAUUUAGGUAGCGCCUCGUGAAUUCAUCUCCGGGGGUAGAGCACUGUUUCGGCUAGGGGGCCAUCCCGGCUUACCAACCCGAUGCAAACUGCGAAUACCGGAGAAUGUUAUCACGGGAGACACACGGCGGGUGCUAACGUCCGUCGUGAAGAGGGAAACAACCCAGACCGCCAGCUAAGGUCCCAAAGUCAUGGUUAAGUGGGAAACGAUGUGGGAAGGCCCAGACAGCCAGGAUGUUGGCUUAGAAGCAGCCAUCAUUUAAAGAAAGCGUAAUAGCUCACUGGUCGAGUCGGCCUGCGCGGAAGAUGUAACGGGGCUAAACCAUGCACCGAAGCUGCGGCAGCGACACUGUGUGUUGUUGGGUAGGGGAGCGUUCUGUAAGCCUGCGAAGGUGGCCUGUGAGGGUUGCUGGAGGUAUCAGAAGUGCGAAUGCUGACAUAAGUAACGAUAAAGCGGGUGAAAAGCCCGCUCGCCGGAAGACCAAGGGUUCCUGUCCAACGUUAAUCGGGGCAGGGUGAGUCGACCCCUAAGGCGAGGCCGAAAGGCGUAGUCGAUGGGAAACGGGUUAAUAUUCCCGUACUUGGUGUUACUGCGAAGGGGGGACGGAGAAGGCUAUGUUGGCCGGGCGACGGUUGUCCCGGUUUAAGCGUGUAGGCUGACUUUCCAGGCAAAUCCGGAGAGUCAAGGCUGAGGCGUGACGACGAGGCACCACGGUGCUGAAGCAACAAAUGCCCUGCUUCCAGGAAAAGCCUCUAAGCAUCAGGUAACAUCAAAUCGUACCCCAAACCGACACAGGUGGUCAGGUAGAGAAUACCAAGGCGCUUGAGAGAACUCGGGUGAAGGAACUAGGCAAAAUGGUGCCGUAACUUCGGGAGAAGGCACGCUGACAUGUAGGUGAAGUGGUUUACCCAUGGAGCUGAAGUCAGUCGAAGAUACCAGCUGGCUGCAACUGUUUAUUAAAAACACAGCACUGUGCAAACACGAAAGUGGACGUAUACGGUGUGACGCCUGCCCGGUGCCGGAAGGUUAAUUGAUGGGGUCAGCGCAAGCGAAGCUCCUGAUCGAAGCCCCGGUAAACGGCGGCCGUAACUAUAACGGUCCUAAGGUAGCGAAAUUCCUUGUCGGGUAAGUUCCGACCUGCACGAAUGGCGUAAUGAUGGCCAGGCUGUCUCCACCCGAGACUCAGUGAAAUUGAACUCGCUGUGAAGAUGCAGUGUACCCGCGGCAAGACGGAAAGACCCCGUGAACCUUUACUAUAGCUUGACACUGAACAUUGAGCCUUGAUGUGUAGGAUAGGUGGGAGGCUUUGAAGCGUGGACGCCAGUCUGCGUGGAGCCGGCCUUGAAAUACCACCCUUUAAUGUUUGAUGUUCUAACGUGGACCCGUGAUCCGGGUUGCGGACAGUGUCUGGUGGGUAGUUUGACUGGGGCGGUCUCCUCCUAAAGAGUAACGGAGGAGCACGAAGGUUGGCUAAUCCUGGUCGGACAUCAGGAGGUUAGUGCAAUGGCAUAAGCCAGCUUGACUGCGAGCGUGACGGCGCGAGCAGGUGCGAAAGCAGGUCAUAGUGAUCCGGUGGUUCUGAAUGGAAGGGCCAUCGCUCAACGGAUAAAAGGUACUCCGGGGAUAACAGGCUGAUACCGCCCAAGAGUUCAUAUCGACGGCGGUGUUUGGCACCUCGAUGUCGGCUCAUCACAUCCUGGGGCUGAAGUAGGUCCCAAGGGUAUGGCUGUUCGCCAUUUAAAGUGGUACGCGAGCUGGGUUUAGAACGUCGUGAGACAGUUCGGUCCCUAUCUGCCGUGGGCGCUGGAGAACUGAGGGGGGCUGCUCCUAGUACGAGAGGACCGGAGUGGACGCAUCACUGGUGUUCGGGUUGUCAUGCCAAUGGCACUGCCCGGUAGCUAAAUGCGGAAGAGAUAAGUGCUGAAAGCAUCUAAGCACGAAACUUGCCCCGAGAUGAGUUCUCCCUGAGACUAUAAGUCUCCUGAAGGAACGUUGAAGACGACGACGUUGAUAGGCCGGGUGUGUAAGCGCAGCGAUGCGUUGAGCUAACCGGUACUAAUGAACCGUGAGGCUUAACCUUAC
rnacentral:rRNA from 1 species